rnacentral:rRNA from 1 species
UGUAAGCGUAUACCAAAGUUGUUGCAGUUAAAACGCUCGUAGUCGGAAUUUGGCAGUUCCGGAUGUGUGCACGUCGUGUGCGCACUUCGCGGGGAUUGCUUUUGUGGUCUUGCGUAGGAUGAGGCACUUUUAUUAGUGAACGUCCUCACGCAACCACUUUUUACUGUGAGAAAAUCAGAGUGCUCAAAGCAGGCAUUUGCCGUGAAUGUAUUAGCAUGGAAUAAUAGAAUAGGACUUGGUUCUAUUUUGUUGGUUUGUUGGGACUGAGUAAUGAUUAAGAGGGACAGUUAGGGGCAUUAGUAUUUCGGUGCUAGAGGUGAAAUUCUUAGAUUACCGAAAGACAAACUGCUGCGAAAGCGUCUGCCAAGGAUGUUUUCAUUGA